rnacentral:snRNA from 1 species
AGCUUUGCACAUUGGCAGUAUUGUAGCCAAUGAGCUUUAUCUGAGGCAUGAUUAUGGCUAAUUGAAAACUUUUCCCAAUACCCUGCCAUGAUGACUGGCAAUAUAGUCGGCAUUGGCCAUUAUUGGCGGUCUCUACAGGGA